rnacentral:rRNA from 1 species
UGAAUAACACGUGAGCAACCUACCCCUGACUCUGGGAUAAGCGCUGGAAACGGCGUCUAAUACUGGAUACGAGUGGCGACCGCAUGGUCAGCUACUGGAAAGAUUUAUUGGUUGGGGAUGGGCUCGCGGCCUAUCAGCUUGUUGGUGAGGUAAUGGCUCACCAAGGCGUCGACGGGUAGCCGGCCUGAGAGGGUGACCGGCCACACUGGGACUGAGACACGGCCCAGACUCCUACGGGAGGCAGCAGUGGGGAAUAUUGCACAAUGGGCGCAAGCCUGAUGCAGCAACGCCGCGUGAGGGAUGACGGCCUUCGGGUUGUAAACCUCUUUUAGCAGGGAAGAAGCGAAAGUGACGGUACCUGCAGAAAAAGCGCCGGCUAACUACGUGCCAGCAGCCGCGGUAAUACGUAGGGCGCAAGCGUUAUCCGGAAUUAUUGGGCGUAAAGAGCUCGUAGGCGGUUUGUCGCGUCUGCUGUGAAAUCCAGAGGCUCAACCUCCGGCCUGCAGUGGGUACGGGCAGACUAGAGUGCGGUAGGGGAGAUUGGAAUUCCUGGUGUAGCGGUGGAAUGCGCAGAUAUCAGGAGGAACACCGAUGGCGAAGGCAGAUCUCUGGGCCGUAACUGACGCUGAGGAGCGAAAAGGGUGGGGAGCAAACAGGCUUAGAUACCCUGGUUAGUCCACCCCGUAAACGUUUGGGAACUAGUUGUUGGGGGUCCAUUUCCACGGAUUUCCGUGACCGCAGCUACGCAUUAAGUUUCCCCGCCUGGGGAGAACGGCCGCAAGGCUAAACUCAAAGGAUUUGACGGGGACCCGCACGAGCCGCGGACCAGGGGGAUUUAAUUCGAUGCACGCGGAGAACCUUACCAGGCUUGGCAUAUUUCAAAGAACGGGGCCAGAAUGGUCACCUCUCU